UUUUUACCCCAAAGAGAAAUGUGCAAUUGCUGCAAACCAAGAGAAAAUAUGUAGAACUACUCAAAAAAGAAUUUACAAAUGAAAUGAAAUUGAGGAAAAUGUAACCAAAAAAAAAAAAUCCAAGAAAAACCAAAAGCCUAUGGGAAAAAAAGGAAACCAACUUGCAAAGGAGGAAAGGAAUCUCAAGAAAAAAUAAUUCUUUGAAAAUUGAAGAUUGGCAAUGGGAAUCCAGGCAAAUGCAGAAAAAUCAAGAAAUAAAACAAAUUGGAAAUAUUGGAAAUAAAUAGAACAAUGUGAAACAUAAAAGAUCUGGAGAAGAGAUUAGAAUAAAAUAGAACCAUGUAGAACUGGACUACCUGAAAAGUGGGACCAAAAAAAAAACCUUCGAAGAAGGAACCAGUCCCCAAUGGGUACAGAGGCAGUGGGCCAGGGAUGCAGCUGGCUACCAGUCCUUGCAGGAGAGGGGAGCUCUUGCUUUGGGGUUCCUAUUUUUGGAGUUUGGGGAUUACUGGUCAGAGGGAAACACUGAAGGGAAACUUGAGGAACCUUCCUCUCAUACUACAGUUAGAGGUGCUUAAUCUCGUUUUUUAAAAAUUGCAUCUGCAAAGAUGAAUCCCACCAUUGAAAUAUAUUACGGGAACAGGGAAAACGAGAGUUUAUCUUCAGAGGAAGCCAUUUCAGUAAAAAAAGCUUUUACUCCAAAGAGUAAUGUGCAAUGGCUGCAACCCCAAAGAAAAUGUGUAGAAGUACUCAAAAAAAGAAUUUAAAAAAUCAAAUCAAAUAGAGGAAAAUGUAACCAAAAAAAAUCUCUCCAAGAAAAACCAAAAGCAUAUGGGGAAAAAAAAGGAAACCAACUUGCCAAGGAGGAAAGGAGUCCCGAGAUGAAAAGAAUUCUUUGAAAACUGAAGAUUGGUAAUGGGAAGCCAGGGAAAUGCAGAACAAUCAAGAAAUAACAAAACCAAUUGUAAACAUUGGAAACAAAUAGAAGAAUGUGAAACAUAAAAGACAGAUCUGGAGAACAUGUUAGAAUAUUAGUAGAAUAGAAAACUGAAUAACUUGAUUACUGAAAAGUGUGACCAAAAAUAGAACCUUGCAAGAAAUAAUUUGGGAAUAUUGUCCUGGAAUGAUAAAUGAGGAGAAAAUGUAGAAAUAGGAAAAAAAAAUCCCCAUUUUCAACGACUUCAACGAAAUCCAUUGUGGAAAAGACAUAGGAAUAAUAGUGCCAAAUUUCAAAAACCCUCAGAUGAAAGGGAAAAUUUUGGAAGAAAGAAAUUCAAAUAUGAAUGUGUUAAAAAUGGAAUUGAACAAGACACGUCAGCAGCUCGGGAAAAGACUGGAAAGAUAUCCACCGAGGGUUGAUUGUGAGGGGAGGCAGGAGAUAGGGCAGGAAGGAAGGAGAAAGAACAGGCAGCAUGGAGGGAGAUGAACUGAGGGAGGGAGGGAAGAAGGGAAGACAGAGGGAAAAGAUUGAGAUAAAAGGGGAGGGAGGAAAACGAGAGAAGAGUUCAGAAGAGAUCUUCCAUUGGAAAGAUUUCAUCUAGUAUUUUAGAAUUUCUUUUCCAUCUUGAAAUUUCGUAUUUUUCCAAAUCGUUUUCAACAUUCAUUGUUGUCAGACUUUGUUGCCAAUGUUUCUCUUUCACUCCCUUAAUCUCAUGUUCUCCAGACGGCAAGUGACCAAAAUGAAAUCAUUACAAUUCUUUUACCCAUUUAACCACAUUUCUCAGGUUGUGGAAGAAAAAAUCCGAUCCCGAGGCAAAAAACCAGGACAAAGGAAAGAAGCAGGAAUCUGUGUGCGACCCCCCCCCCCCCGGCUCAAAGGGGCUAGUUGGAGGCAUCUCCAGAUGCCCACAGAAAGCAUGGAUUCAGUCCUUGCAAGGAAAGGUGCCAGCACCCCAAGGGAGCAGCCUGGUGUGGGGCCCCAGGUGGGAAAGAGGGAAUGGCUUAACUAGCAAAAGGCUGGGGUUCAUUGGAUGGACCGAAAAGGAAGCAACCACUGACCAAUGACCAGCACGACUGUCUAGGUUGUUUGGGUCAUAUGAACUGCCUGAAAUUUUGGCCUAGGAUCUGAUUUUUCUCCCCUACUGACCUUUACAAACAGGGAUCAUGUGACUGCCUGAAAUUUAGAGCUAGGCUCUGACUUUUCUGUGCUACAAUCCUCUGAGAAUAGGGAUCGUGUGAUGUCCUGAAACAAAAACCUAAGGUCCUAGAUAGAGCCUCUGAGACCUUGCCCUGGUCGGCGCAGUUCCUUUUUCACGCCACCUCACAUCAGUCCCGAUGCAUUUCUUCCACUAGGACAUCCUUGCUAGCAAGGCCUUCAGGCUGGUCCCUCUCCUCAGUACUAACUGUAAGCCGCCACCUACCAUUUAGAAAGGGCCAACAACCUCACACGGGUGGAAGAUUUCCAGAACCGCUUUAGCGAAGCAAUCUUGGUCCAUUCUAGUGCUUGAGUCCUCCAGCAAGCGGGCCAGAGGAUAAUGCUGCUUCAAGCAAUGAGCAGCAAUGGGAGACCCUGCUUCCACCAGCUCGCACCCUCCGACUGGGAAGCCCUGUCGUCACAGAGCCUCAAGUGCCACCCGGCAGCCAGUGGUAUCCAUGGAACUCGAGCACUGUCCAGGCCCAAGGCCUUCGGGCCAUUCUCCCAUUCUUCUCCCCUCAAGCUGUCCUGACCCACAUUCCUUUGAGACAAAGGGACAAAGGUCUCAUCUUCUGGAGCUGCUUCAGCUGAAAAGGGCUGAAGAGCUGGCGGGGCCUAUUGCGGUCCAGAGUGAGGACGGGACUUGCAGGCGGUGUCAGCAGCAGGGGGCUGCUGAGUGUCGGAAUCGGGGAUCCCGGGAUUUGACCAACUAGUUGGAAUUCCAUGGCUUACACUCCGGAAGAAACAACUCUCAAGUCGAUGAAACAUGCAAGAGUCCAAUAUGAGCAAAAAAGGAGAAACAAAUUGGGGUCAGAAUGGGGGUCACUAGGGAGAGGAACUGGGGACCACACGGAGAGGACGACGGAGAGGGGAAGAUAGUUAUCAUGGAUGUCUCUCAUCCAGCUUUUCCAGAAUAAAUUUCUAAGAACUUUCCCCCCCAA